ACGGAAGGCAGCAGUGGGGAAUAUUGCACAAUGGGGGAAACCCUGAUGCAGCGACGCCGCGUGAGUGAAGAAGUAUUUCGGUAUGUAAAGCUCUAUCAGCAGGAAAGAAAAUGACGGUACCUGACUAAGAAGCCCCGGCUAACUACGUGCCAGCAGCCGCGGUAAUACGUAGGGGGCAAGCGUUAUCCGGAUUUACUGGGUGUAAAGGGAGCGUAGACGGUCGUGCAAGUCUGAAGUGAAAGCCCGGGGCUCAACCCCGGAACUGCUUUGGAAACUGUAUAACUAGAGUGCAGGAGAGGUAAGCGGAAUUCCUAGUGUAGCGGUGAAAUGCGUAGAUAUUAGGAGGAACACCAGCGGCGAAGGCGGCUUACUGGACUGUAACUGACGUUGAGGCUCGAAGGCGUGGGGAGCAAACAGGAUUAGAUACCCUGGUA
rnacentral:rRNA from 1 species